GUUAAAAUCCUGCAUAAAUGGAUAAUAUAAUGUCAGAUCUAUCCAGCCAAAUAAAGAAUGAUGGAUCUGAUGAGAAAAGCAAAGGUAACUCUUUCACUUUCAAGCUUCACCUCAUCCUAUGAGCUUUGUUGGAAAGACUCCAAUGGACAAUCUAAGCACUCUUUCACAAGCAAAAAGCAACGGCAUAAAACAAUUACACAAAUCCUUUGAUACGCUUCACACAACAAGGUGACAAAAUUAUGUGUUAAUGAUGUUUUGUUCUGUUCUUAUUUUGUUAUUUUUUGUUAUCUAGAAAAUCAAUCUAGACGAUCUGUGUUUACAAUAAAAUUUUAUCAAAUAUGAUCUAUAUAUUGACAUUUGUUUUCAGGACAUCUAUACUACAGCAUAUGUUCAUAUGUUCUAAUCAGGUAUGUACAAAAAUUCAAUCAAUAUAUAUGACCUAUUCAUGUUUUUUUUAUGUGUGUACGUACA